GAAGGCAUAGCUCAGUGGUAGAGCACAUGCUUAGCAGUCACAAGGUCCUGGGUUCAAUCCCCAGUACCUCCA
rfam:Camelus ferus unplaced genomic scaffold scaffold1073, whole genome shotgun sequence.